rnacentral:rRNA from 1 species
UAGGGAAUAUUGGGCAAUGGACGAAAGUCUGACCCAGCAACGCCGCGUGUGCGACGAAGGUCUUCGGAUCGUAAAGCACUUUUCUGGGAGAUGAGAAAGGACAGUAUCCCAGGAAUAAGUCUCGGCUAACUACGUGCCAGCAGCCGCGGUAAAACGUAGGAGACGAGCGUUAUCCGGAUUUACUGGGCGUAAAGCGCGUGCAGGCGGCUUGGCAAGUUGGAUGUGAAAUCUCCCGGCUCAACUGGGAGGGGUCGUUCAAAACUACCGAGCUAGAGGAUGGUAGAGGAAGGUGGAAUUCCCGGUGUAGUGGUGAAAUGCGUAGAUAUCGGGAGGAACACCAGUGGCGAAAGCGACCUUCUGGACCAUUCCUGACGCUCAGACGCGAAAGCUAGGGGAGCGAACGGGAUUAGAGACCCCGGUAGUCCUAGCUGUAAACGAUGCAAACUUGGCGUCGGUGGGUUAAAAACCAUCGGUGCCGUAGCUAACGCGAUAAGUUUGCCGCCUGGGGACUACGGCCG